rnacentral:rRNA from 1 species
CGUACGAUACGAGUUUGAUCUGGCUCAGAAUCAACGCUGGCGGCGUGCCUCAGACAUGCAAGUCGAACGAUUAAAGCUCUCUUCGGAGAGUGUAUAGAGUGGCGCACGGGUGAGUAACACGUAAGUAAUCUACCCUCGAGUGGGGAAUAACAACCGGAAACGGUUGCUAAUACCGCAUAAUGCAGCGGCACCGCAAGGUGACAGUUGUUAAAGAUUUAUCGCUUGAGGAGGAGCUUGCGGCAGAUUAGCUAGUUGGUAGGGUAACGGCUUACCAAGGCUACGAUCUGUAACCGGUCUAAGAGGACGGUCGGUCACACUGACACUGAAUAACGGGUCAGACUCCUACGGGAGGCAGCAGUCGGGAAUUUUGGGCAAUGGGCGAAAGCCUGACCCAGCAACGCCGCGUGAAGGAUGAAGUAUUUCGGUAUGUAAACUUCGAAAGAAUAGGAAGAAUUAAUGACGGUACUAUUUAUAAGGUCCGGCUAACUACGUG